rnacentral:rRNA from 1 species
CUGGCUCAGAGCGAACGCUGGCGGCAGGCCUAAAACAUGCAAGUCGAACGAACCCUUCGGGGUUAGUGGCGGACGGGUGAGUAACACGUGGGAACGUGCCCUUUGGUUCGGAACAACUCAGGGAAACUUGAGCUAAUACCGAAUGUGCCCUUCGGGGGAAAGAUUUAUCGCCAUUGGAGCGGCCCGCGUCUGAUUAGCUAGUUGGUGAGGUAAAGGCUCACCAAGGCUACGAUCAGUAGCUGGUCUGAGAGGAUGAUCAGCCACACUGGGACUGAGACACGGCCCAGACUCCUACGGGAGGCAGCAGUUAGGAAUCUUGCGCAAUGGGCGAAAGCCUGACGCAGCCAUGCCGCGUGAAUGAUGAAGGUCUUAGGAUUGUAAAAUUCUUUCAGCGGGGAAGAUAAUGACGGUACCCGCAGAAGAAGCUCCGGCUAACUUCGUGCCAGCAGCCGCGGUAAUACGAAGGGGGCUAGCGUUGCUCGGAAUUACUGGGCGUAAAGGGCGCGUAGGCGGAUGACUAAGUUGGGGGUGAAAGCCCGGGGCUCAACCUCGGAACUGCCUUCAAUACUGGUCAUCUUGAGUUCGGGAGAGGUGUGUGGAACUCCGAGUGUAGAGGUGAAAUUCGUAGAUAUUCGGAAGAACACCAGUGGCGAAGGCGACACACUGGCCCGAUACUGACGCUGAGGCGCGAAAGCGUGGGGAGCAAACAGGAUUGGAUACCCUGGUAGUCCACGCCGUAAACGAUGAGUGCUAGUUGUCGGCAUGCAUGCAUGUCGGUGACGCAGCUAACGCAUUAAGCACUCCGCCUGGGGAGUACGGUCGCAAGAU